UAUAUUUGCAUCGAUUUUGUUUUUGAUGUGAAAAUCAUUUACAUCGAAUUAAAAGGGAAUCUGGUUAAAAACCAGAGCUGUUCCCGCAACUGUAAGUUUUACUAAAUUUAUUUUAGUCCCUCUUUAGAGGAUGUUAUUAAUUCUUUUACCACUGACAUUUUUUUGUUGGGAAGGUAUAAUAAUAUAAAAACGAGCCAGGAAACCUGCCAUAAAUCACGAGUUUAA
rnacentral:ncRNA from 1 species